rnacentral:rRNA from 1 species
UUAAGCUACUAAGAGCACACGGAGGAUGCCUAGGCGCUAGGAGCCGAUGAAGGACGUGGCGAACAACGAUACUGCCUCGGGGAGCUGUAAGCAAGCUUCGAUCCGGGGAUGUCCGAAUGGGGAAACCCAGCUGGUGUAAUAGCCAGUUACCCGUAUCUGAAUACAUAGGAUACGAGGAGGCAUACCCAGGGAACUGAAACAUCUAAGUACCUGGAGGAAGAGAAAACAAGAGUGAUUCCGUCAGUAGCGGCGAGCGAACGCGGAACAGCCUAAACCAGAGAGCUUGCUCUCUGGGGUUGUGGGACGUCUCACAUGGAGUUACAAAGGUUUAGAUUAGACGAACAGGUCUGGAAAGGCCGGCCAUAGAAGGUAAAGCCCUGUAAUCGAAAAUGUGAACCCUCCGAGACGGAUCCCGAGUAGUGCGGGGCACGUGAAACCCCGUAUGAAUCCAGCAGGACCAUCUGCUAAGGCUAAAUACUCCCUAGCGACCGAUAGUGAAGCAGUACCGUGAGGGAAAGGUGAAAAGCACCCCGGAAGGGGAGUGAAAUAGAACCUGAAACCGUGUGCUUACAAGAAGUCAGAGCCCAUUAUAGGGGUGAUGGCGUGCCUUUUGUAGAAUGAACCGGCGAGUUACGUUCCCAUGCAAGGUUAAGGCGAGAAGCCGUAGCCGCAGCGAAAGCGAGUCUGAAUAGGGCGACUUAGUAUGUGGACGUAGACCCGAAACCGUGUGAUCUACCCCUGUCCAGGGUGAAGGUGCGGUAACACGCACUGGAGGCCCGAACCCACGUACGUUGAAAAGUGCGGGGAUGAGGUGGGGGUAGCGGAGAAAUUCCAAUCGAACUCGGAGAUAGCUGGUUCUCCCCGAAAUAGCUUUAGGGCUAGCCUCGGAAUGAAGAGUCGUGGAGGUAGAGCACUGAUUGGGUGCGGGGCCCGCAAGGGUUACCAAGCUCAGUCAAACUCCGAAUGCCAUAGACUUAUAUCCGGGAGUCAGACAGUGAGUGCUAAGAUCCAUUGUCAAAAGGGAAACAGCCCAGACCAUCAGCUAAGGUCCCCAAGUGUGUGUUAAGUGGGAAAGGAUGUGGAGUUGCACAGACAACCAGGAUGUUGGCUUAGAAGCAGCCACCAUUUAAAGAGUGCGUAAUAGCUCACUGGUCGAGUGACUCUGCGCCGAAAAUGUAACGGGGCUAAACACACCACCGAAGCUAUGGCUUGAUGCUUGCAUCAGGGGUAGGGGAGCGUUGUAUGCAGGUUGAAGGUGUACCGUAAGGAGCGCUGGACAGCAUACAAGUGAGAAUGCCGGUAUGAGUAACGAAAAGAUCAGUGAGAAUCUGAUCCGCCGAAAGCCCAAGGUUUCCUGAGGAAGGCUCGUCCGCUCAGGGUAAGUCGGGACCUAAGGCGAGGCCGAAAGGCGUAGUCGAAGGACAACAGGUUGAAAUUCCUGUACCACCGUAAACCGUUAUGAACGAUGGGGUGACGCAGGAGGGUAGUGACGCGGACUGAUGGAUGUCCGUCCAAGCAGUGAGGCUGAUGUGUAGGCAAAUCCGCACAUCGUUAAGGCUGGGCUGUGAUGGGGAGUGAAAAUUACAGUAGCGAAGGUCAUGAUCUCACACUGCCAAGAAAAGCCUCUAGUCAGGUGAAGGUGCCCGUACCGCAAACCGACACAGGUAGGCGAGAAGAGAAUUCUAAGGCGCGCGGAAGAACUCUCGUUAAGGAACUCGGCAAAAUGACCCCGUAACUUCGGGAGAAGGGGUGCCUCGGUAGGGUGAAUAGCCCGAGGGGGCCGCAGUGAAAAGGCCCAAGCGACUGUUUAGCAAAAACACAGGUCUGUGCGAAGCCGCAAGGCGAAGUAUACGGGCUGACGCCUGCCCGGUGCUGGAAGGUUAAGGGGAGCGGUUAGGAGGUAACUCCGAAGCUGUGAACCGAAGCCCCAGUAAACGGCGGCCGUAACUAUAACGGUCCUAAGGUAGCGAAAUUCCUUGUCAGGUAAAUUCUGACCCGCACGAAUGGCGUAACGACUUGGGCGCUGUCUCAACGAGAGAUCCGGUGAAAUUUUAAUACCUGUGAAG